rnacentral:rRNA from 1 species
AUUGAACGCUGGCGGCAGGCCUAACACAUGCAAGUCGAGCGGAUGAAGGGAGCUUGCUCCUGGAUUCAGCGGCGGACGGGUGAGUAAUGCCUAGGAAUCUGCCUGGUAGUGGGGGAUAACGUCCGGAAACGGGCGCUAAUACCGCAUACGUCCUGAGGGAGAAAGUGGGGGAUCUUCGGACCUCACGCUAUCAGAGGAGCCUAGGUCGGAUUAGCUAGUUGGUGGGGUAAAGGCCUACCAAGGCGGCGAUCCGUAACUGGUCUGAGAGGAUGAUCAGUCACACUGGAACUGAGACACGGUCCAGACUCCUACGGGAGGCAGCAGUGGGGAAUAUUGGACAAUGGGCGAAAGCCUGAUCCAGCCAUGCCGCGUGUGUGAAGAAGGUCUUCGGAUUGUAAAGCACUUUAAGUUGGGAGGAAGGGCAGUAAGUUAAUACCUUGCUGUUUUGACGUUACCAACAGAAUAAGCACCGGCUAACUUCGUG